UACCCGCAGCACAAGUGGUGGUCAUUAUUAUUGGGCCUAAAGCGUCCGUAGCUGGCCUGUUAGAUGCCUGGGUAAAUCGAUGCGCUUAACGCAUCGAAUUCCGGGUAGACCGGCAGGCUCGAGACCGGGAGAGGCGUGGGGUACUCGGGGGGUAGGGGUAAAAUCCUGUAAUCCUCCGGGGACGACCAGUGGCGAAGGCGCCACGCUAGAACGGCUCUGACAGUGAGGGACGAAGCCCUGGGGCGCAAACCGG
rnacentral:rRNA from 2 species